rnacentral:rRNA from 1 species
UACGGAAGGGGCAAGCGUUGUUCGGAAUCAUUGGGCGUAAAGGGCGCGUAGGCGGUUGUGUCUGUCCGCUGUGAAAGCCCACGGUGAACCCGUGGAGGGUCGGUGGAAACGGCAUGACUUGAGGCUGGGAGGGGCUGGUGGAAUUCCCCGUGUAGCGGUGAAAUGCGUAGAGAUGGGGGAGAACACUCGUGGCGAAGGCGGCCAGCUGGCCCAGGCCUGACGCUGAGGCGCGACAGCGUGGGGAGCAAACAGG